UCUUACCCUCGCUCACGUGAGUCGGGGCGUCCAUGAAUAUCCCCGGACCACAAGAGGGAUCUCUUUGGGAAGCAGCCGGGAGGAAGGCAAAAGGAGGAGACGCACGUGCAGAGAUGGGGUGUGUGUUGGGGAGGGGGGGCUGGUGGUGAACUCCUGGCUUGCAGAUUUAGAUCUCAAGGCUGAAAGGUUACGCUUGCACCGGAGCAUCCCGUACCGCCUCCUGCCCUGCCCUGCGCGCGCGCCGCACUCACACGCACGCCCUCGCACACGCACACACUUGCACACCGCUCCAAGCCGCUCCGCUCCCCGGACUGCUGAGGAAGCAGCCCCUCCGAGGCGCGCUCGCCAGAGGUGAGGCGGCUCGGCCCGGCACUGCCCCCCGCGAGCGCACCGCUGCCGCUCUCGGGGCUCCGGAGCCCGCGGGCCCUGAAUGGGGCGCGCGGCCGCCGGCACGAGCGGGGGCUGCCCGGCGCGAACCGGAGAAGGGGCGGGAGCAGGCCGCGAGGGGUGUCGCCGCCGCCUCCCUCCCCCGCGCCUCCCUCCGUGCCCUCGCUCCCUCCUCCCGCCCCGCCCCGCCGCGCCGUACCGCGCCGCCCCUCCGCGGCGGGGAGCGGGCAUUCGAAGGAGGUGUCGGCGCCGCGUGUGCGUGCGCGGGUGGGCGUGGCCGUGGGUAGCGCGGGGAACCCACGCGGCCCCGGCGCCCCCGCGAGAGGCGCGCAGGCUCCUCCCGACGCUGACCUGCAGGGGGCGCCGCACGUUGGCGCCCCGGGGAAAGGGGGGGGCCCGCAGCCAGCCUCCCCGCGCGGAGGAGGGGCCGGGCGGAGGACCCCGACAGAAGCGGGUUUCCCCCGCGCCUCGGGAAGGGGUCGGGCGGAGUCCGGAGGCCCGGGCUCACCCGCCGCGGGACUGAGUCAGUGUUUGCAUGCUGGUCACCAACGAGAGGCCGCGGGGCGUCGCAGCCCGCUCUCCGGUCUCCGCGGCUGGAGGAGGUCGCGAGCUGGCAGGGGGAGUCUGCCACCUGGCUGGUUGGCUUGGCUUGACUCAGUCCUUACUCUGGAAUUGGGAGGGGGAGCCUUUCUUUUCUCUCCUCGCACAGCCGCACAAAGCCUCGCAAAGUUUCCUACCACUCGGGAAUGAAGGCGGAUCAAGUUCGAGCCCUGCUUCCUGGCUGGGACGACCCGAAAGUACCAGAAGUCUGGCCCGCGAGCUGCGCCUUCGGCUUCCCCAACAGUCUCCCUCAAAUGCACGCCCCUUCCCUGGCCGAGCGCGGAUGCAGCGGGUCCUGGGCUGGGGAGACCCGGGAAUCGGCUGCCGGCGCCGCGCCCGCCCCUGCCCAGCUCGAGGGCCGCGCCCGCCUUCCCGCUCGGCGGGGCUCCGCGCCCCCCACCCCCGGGGACUUGCCCACCCUGCAGCAUCGCUGGAGGAGGAGAGUAGGGGCUACGCUCCCAGAGAAGUUCAGCUGAGCUUUGGAUAGUAACUGUCCCGCGUCCUGAUUGGGACCCAGCAGCCAAGUGAAGGCCAGAGGCCUCCGCCACAGGGAUCUGCGCGCUCUCCGUGGGCAGUCCCCGGACCCAGGGCGCGUCCACAGCGCCCACCCGCGGCCCCCAAACACCUCGAGAGCAGAUCUUAGGAGAUAACCAAGCACCGACCUGAGGUGCCCUGCAGCUCCCAGACCCUCAGCUAGAAACCUAGAACGUGGGAUCCAAUUCAAUGGUUCUCCUCAUGCAUACAUGCAUGUCUCCAUCCAUCCAUGCAUACAUGCAUACCAUACAAAUCCGCGGCCGCGGGCUGGGAGAGCUGCACCUCGCCCUUGCUUCGGGUUGAGAACGGGCGCCUCCUUUCCCGCUCUCCCUCCUCCCGCGCAGCCCUGGCCCCCUCCCGAAGGGAGAACAACAGCUCAAUUACGGAAAGGAGCGAAGGAAAGAAAUCCCAGGCUCGGAGGCGCCCGCUGCUGCUCCUCUGGUCCCCUUCCCUCACUCCCCGUCCCCACCCCCACCGUCCCCAGCUCGGGGAGGGCGGGGAUGCGGCGGUGCGAAGGGGUCCUGCCCUGCUCCGCCAGAACAAAGCCCACCGCGGGAGCCCGCGGCCGCGCACCGAGCCGGUGACAAAGGCGGGCGGGCGGCGCCGAGCUCCAAGUCGGCGCUCCUGCGGUGGAGCGGGAAGGAGGCCUGGAAGGUGGGGAGCGAUUUGCACCCUGUUUUUCCUGAGCUGCUCCCUCUUGCUCUUGUGUACCCAAUGACCUGUGAGGGUGACUCGGCGUUCACCUCUUCGCUGUCCCGCACCCCUAUCUCCCUCUCCCGUGUCCUUUUCGGUCCCCAAUCUCCCCGCUUUUUUCUCCGCCUUAUUCCAUUUACCUCUUCUCCUCCCUUUGCCUUUUUUUUUUUUAAUCUCUUUUCCAUUUUUCUUUUCCAUAGAAAAGCAAUGCUGAUUUGACUUCUGAAAGCCGCUGUGGGCGUUCAAACGACAGUUUGAAAGACCUUACAGGGCAGUGCUUAGGGGAAAGGAAGUAAUGGGACCCUCUUAAUUUUAUUACGCAAACUGUGAUCUAAAAGAAUAAAACAAAAUGCAGUCUAAGGAAGCGGAGCGUA
rnacentral:lncRNA from 1 species